GCGCAGUAUAUUAACAUAAACAGGUUAGUUAUAGAUGUUGCCACUGGACAAAUUUUGUGCUUAGCAUCAGGCCUUAAAUUGUGUAAGUGAGGAUAAAAUUAGGAAAAUGAUCGGACCAGUGGCUUAUUUGCAACUUGGCUGAUAAUGAGCUCCAUUGCAAGAUAAUAUAUGUGCAAAGCUCAAAAUAAACAGUUAAAAUUCAUAAAUCCUCCUUAUCGUGCUUAUGCGUUCAUGACACACUGAGCCAUAAAUCGGAUAGAAUUUUGAGGAGAUGAGCUGCUUAGUUAUUUUUGAAGUCCCGAGGUUCAGCAAUUUCCCACUAAUGUUGUUUGUUUCCCUGAAUUAUAUUUGAGCUGCCACACAAUAACGCACUUUUAUCACCCAUGCGUACGAGUUUUAAUCUUUUUUUCAAUUCAUUGUUAUAUACAGUGCAUCUCUAAAGAAUUAUGCUCAUGAUGAUGUAUCUGUUGGGUCUUGGAUGAUGGGUCUUCAAGCAACCUAUAUA
rnacentral:misc_RNA from 1 species